rnacentral:lncRNA from 1 species
CAUGUUCUGCUGUGUCAUGCUUCAGUUCAUCAUCAAUGACAUCAAGGACCGGAAGAACAGCAGUUGAACUAUAUGAACAAGGUAUCAUUCCUGGCGGACAGGGGGUCCAGGACUUCGCUAUAGACCACCUAGUGCGUUUAUCUGGCAUGCUUGUGUUGAGCGUUCCCUCAAUUCCAUUUUCAGCUGAACACGCAUUAUCCGGUUUCCUCAACUGCAACUUGAACGCUUCCAGCUUCUGUGUUGCGCUUUCAACCGAUUCUUGUCCAUUGGACAAGAUUCUGGAUUCAAGGAGGGUACAAUCUUUGGGUGACCUUCACAGGGACAACAAAGGAAGCUUCCUUAGUUUCUCCUUCAUGUUGUUAUCGCCGGUCAUCUUAAUCAGCAAUAGUGCUAUUGCUGCUCAUCCACUUCCUCAAAGUAUUCCUGCUCAUCUAGAUUGCCUAGUGUCGGAGAGGUCAGAGGAAAGAGCGAGGGAGAGGCGCAUGGUGUCGGCAAGUGAGUGGAAUAGGAUCAUGGAGGAAGAAGGCGAACUCCUGAUGCGCCAGCCCCGCGCCGUCGACGAUCGGUACGGUAUUGAGCGGCACGAGCACGAAGCCCAAGAGCUAGGGUUAGGGUCGCACUGCAUUAGGCGUCGAGUAGAGGGUUUUGGAUGGCCGCCGACUUGCGGCAACGCUCAUGCUCCACAUCCCUCUGCAGCACGUCCAAGAUACUCACGAUCCAUAGCUAACCCACCUCCGCCUCCACAUCUUUCUUUGGUUUGUUGUAGGCGACCCGAGCCGCGGCGGCGAGAGUUAGUUGCGGUUGGAGGCGCUGGAAACCUACAAGUGGGGUUUGUAGGAAAGAUCGGUGAGAGGGAGAGGGGCACGGGGACCUUCGCAGGGACAAAGCUCCCUUCCACGGUUGGGAACAUUAAACUGCGCUAUUGAACGGAAAUGAUAGUAAGACAAGGACAAGUGUGAAGAUUAGAAUAUGCAAAAAAUCUCUGAAUGUGUCCUGCCCAGCCCGUCCUUCAACAAAGUGUAUGAUAAGGUGUACAAGUGUACUCCCAAACAUUGAAUUACUAGUGGGUGGGUGAGCUACCGAAGAAUGAGUUACUCAACAUCUUGAUCCUGUGGAUAUAAACCGACUACUUCGUACGAAAGUCCUAUUCUGAGCUCGAGCUCAGAUGGACCUGUUAUCCCAGCCGUUGUCUGGCGCUAAGAUUCGCACCAGGAGAUGUAUUUUACUGCGUAUUCUGAGUAGUAUGAGAUGCUUUCUACAGAAUAGGGCCCACUCACCGACCGCAUUUAUUGGGACAUCCAUCAUCCAGCACUAGCCGGCUCAGAUGGACACUAGCGUCGUGGUCCACGGCUCAGCCGUUACACACCUAACGGUGGCUUCCAGCAAACAUUUUUUUAAUAUAUACAUGCACUGCAUCGACCACACACACCCUUGCUCUGGAAGAUUCACUUUUCUUCCUUGCAGCCUCAGGAAGUGCUGCCACCUAUCCCUUGCCCCGACUACCUCGACAAGGUGGUCACCUUCGCCUCGCGCGCGCCGAGCUUGCUCUACAAAUGCGUCAGGAAAGAUGUAAGUGCCCAUCUACCAUGAAGAACAAUCUUUUGGAGCUUGGAUCCCCACUCCGUGUCUGAAGUUAGAAUCCAUGCAGGUUGAGCUAUGCGGGUUCAUUUAGACCCACGGACACGUACCUGCCCGAGCUGACUCGCGCAGGGCUGACGCAGCCGUACGUGCUGCAACCCCCCUUGCUAUGCACCCGUCGGCUCCCCUUCAGCAGAGAUACAUGCGAGACCACAACUUCGACCAUAGCAGCCAGGCGGAGAUUCAGCCAGCACAUGUGCGCAUGCAGCCACAGAUGCAGCAGCUGAGCCUCCCCCGUGCCGCGCCUCCACGCUGCUCCGCCGACAGCCAGCGCACGACGCUGCUCUUGGCCGGAACCAACUUCAUCCUCGUCCUGCCAACUAAUCCAACCCUAGUCCUGCAUGACAAAUCAGCAAACUGAUUACACAUCCUGGCCGAGAUUGUUCGUUUGUAGUGGAGCACAUAUACUUAACACAUUUCUUUUAUCAUACUUCUGCACAAUCAUGAAAAUUUCAAAACAUACUCGGAAAACAUUACAAUUAAACCUAUUUUUUGGGCAAAUGACUCCUGAAAAGCUCACCGGAUAUUCUUCACACAAAACGUUACUAUCACUAGUACCUAAUCAUAAUUUGAACAAAUAAUUUUUUUACAAACACUUGAUCUCCGGCUAUGGUGAUCGGUCACAACUUUAUGUAUUUUGCAUAGUGCUACAGGGCCUAAGUUUAGAUGAAACACACUCGCUGCUGUCUAGCCGCUACAUACAUUCAGGAAAAGUGGAAAACCCAUGCCUUUAAACUAGUUUUGUCUUAGUAAGUUUAGACAUUUCCAAAAUCAGCAGCACUAAUUUAUAUGGUCAAUUACUUCGAACUUCUGUUCAUAAUAAGCAUCAAUUUUAUAAAAUCCAAGGGGCCCUACAGAUUGCAAUAAGCUGAAUAUUAACCGUAGACAUUUCGAAAAUUCAGCAGCACUAGUUUCCUAAAAUUCAGCAGCAGUAGUCUGUCAUAUUAAACCUACACAUUCCGAAAUUCAGCAGCAGUAGUUGUCCUCCCGUAGUCCUAGUCAAUUUCUUAAAAUCCAAGGCUAAGGGUUUUACCUUCAAAUGCAUGCACACAAGUUCAUGAAAACCUGGGGACAAGCCAACAUUUGAAACUAAACCAGACAUGCCAAGCUGGAACACAGUUCGACUUAUUACAUUACCUAGCCACUGGCCAAUAUGCAGAGUUACGAAAAGCAUGUCAACACCUAAAAAUUAACCAUGGUUUAGAUUACGCCGAAGCUAAAACAUGUCACCUACAGGCAUAUGCCUCAAUAGCAAAUAAGAUAAUUGAAAAGACAUCAUGAGCCCAUCAGCUCCUACCCAGUGCAUUCCCCAAACUGCAUUCUACUUGCCAGCCUUAGUUCCAUUGAUUUAUUAAAAUUAUUUUGCGGGUGCCCCUCAAACUGCAUUCUACUUGCAAGCCACAGUUCUUACAUUUGGCAGGCUUCCGAGGUUGCUUAGGGACAUCACCACAUCAGGGCAUUUAGUUUGCUUAUGCCCUUGUUUUCAGCAUAUCGUGCAAAACCUAGUCCUCUUGCUUAGACCUUCAUAUGGAGCCUUCUCCGUACUUGUCGUUGGCCAUCCCAUAUCUUUCUUUUUCGCUGGAGCCAGCAGUCCUUCCAACCUGUUGCUUGUCCUCGAAACCGAAUCAUUGUUAGCUAAAACAGCAGUAGCUGCUUUGGCGUUCAUGUUUUGUUCCGCCGAAACCAGCUCCAUGGGAGUCUGAUUCACCACAGCCCCCCUGUCUGCCAGUCUAUCCUCGAGGCCAAGACCAUCCCUAACUUCUGCAUAGGGUAACAUCACUGUCAAAUUCGACUUGAACAACUCCAUCAAUUGAUUGUAGGCUUCAAAACUAGUGUCGCCCAGCCUGACUAGUUCCAUUGCGUGCAUGUACAUCGUGAAGUUUCUGUACGAAAAAGGGUUGUUCUACAUACUGUCCUUCUGGUAUUGUAUCAGAUGAGGUGGCAGAAUGUCGCGAGCAUCCCUCGUCCAUGUCUUCACUAUAUGCUUAGCUGGUAUUUUUUAGCCCUAAUGAAACCAAGCAUCUCUUCAUUAUGUGCACGCUUUUCAUGAGCUUCUCAGAUAAAAAUUGUACUCCACUGUAUCUGAUUUACUAACAACAAAUCAGUGAGAGCAUCACCAGAAGCCUCGCCCAAGGAGUCGAAUGUAAUGCCGAGAACAGGUGUGAUCACAUUUUCAGCCGGUUUCUCUGCAAAACAUUUGACAGCCUUGUCGAACGCACUGAUUCGAUUUGGGCAUGGUGUCCUGAUUGGUGCAGCAGCACCAAGCCUCAGCCUGCAAACACCAGGCAGUAGGUAUGAUUUAUCCAAAUGCAUUGUACCAACUGCUCUGAAUCCACAAAGCUAUAGCUGACUGAUUUCUUUUCUGCAAUCCAAUUUUCUAUAAUAAAAUCUUUGCAUCUCUCAUAUCAAAUGGUUUCAUUUUAAUACAGUUUGCUAACUACUCUGAACCCAUACAUCUCUAGCUGCCUGAUUUCUUUAGUGUUGUCAAUUUUAUUUAAUAAAAUAAUUUCCAUCUGUGAUCACAUAAUUAAGCUUUUCAUUAUCUGACUGUCUGAUUUUCAUCUGUGAUCACAUAAUUUCCAUCUAGCAGUGUACUUAUUCCUCUGAACUCAGCAAACUGCAGCUGCCUGAUUUCUUUACCGCACUCAAUUUUUCUUUACUAAAAUCUUUGCAUCUCGCAUAUCAAUGAGUUACAACUGAAUGCAGUGCACAAACUACUCUGUUUUACUGAAAUCUUUCCUUAUCUGAUGACAUAAGAAAGUUUUUUCUUAUCUGAAUUUCAACUACGUGAAUGCAAUGGAGUUAACCCGCUAAACCUGGUAAAUUACAGCUGCCUGAUUUCGUUAGUGCUACCAAUUUUUCUCCACUAAUUUCUUUGCAUCUCUCAUAUCAGGAGGGUUCAGCUAAAUGCAUUGUACUAAAUACUCUGAAUCUAGAAAGAUAUAGUUGCCUGAUUUCUUUACUGAUGUCAAUUUUUCUUUACUAAAAUAUUUGCAUCUCUGAUGACAUACGGAAGCUUUUCCACUGACCUCUUAUUCCAUCCGGGCGCCUGGGGAUUCGUCUUCCCCGUUGAGAGCUCGAGCGUCGGAGGGGAGCUAUCCCUUCUGCCCGCUGCGGCCUCCGCCCCUGAUUUGUGCUUUGCCGCUGUCCGCCGCCCUGUGAUGCUGCCGCACCGCAUGCUCCGCCACCACUUCGUCAUCGGCAACCAGAGGGGCAGGCACCAGGCUCUCUUCUAUCUCCUCAAGCACAGCAGAUCUAAACCAAGGGAAAAAACAAAUCGCUGUCAACAAGCUGACCCAGACGCCCGAAAAAUGCAGACAACCUCGCGCGGCGAAGGAAGGAUCGAUGUACCUGCCGAUCGGCUGCAUCAAGAACUCCAUGUUGGAUCGCCGCUGCCGCUCCUGACCUUUAUCUCCCAGUCGUCGCCUUCAAAUUGCCAGUCGCUUUGCAAGAGAAGACGACUGGACUCUGGAUUCAACUCGACUCGUGCGGCGAGACAGUAAAGCGAAUUUCCUGAUCCACGGAUCAGACGGCGGCUCUGAUUCUGAUCCAUGGAACACCUCCCCGGCGGCAAACUGCCAUCCUCCCCAGCGUUAAAUCUGGCUCACUGGACACCGCUGCCGGGGACGUAUUUUGGAACAAUACCCGAUUUCUGGAUGACCACCAGCGCUAGGAUAAAUUAAUGGCACACAUCCAAAGAGGCUAACCAACGACGUGGAUAACGAGCUCAUUUGAGCUCGUGCUCAAUUACUCCACGUCCUCCUACUUCGUAUUGUAUUACAGGAGUGAAGUGGUAAGAAGAAAACGUGGGACAGAGGGAACAAUUGAGCAAGGAGGGGCGUGUUUUUGUUAGUUGAGUUUUUGAGUGGCUUGGUAGCUAUCCGGAUGUACACGGGAAUAUGAUGCGUCGGGAAUUUGAACAGCAGCCCCACUGGUUUUUCUUGCGGUUCUUUCCGGGUCUGAUGCACAGGUACGCCAUGGCUCACACGAGGCCAAUAAAAGAAUCCUUAGGAACCUCAAGAACACAGAGGUGUCAGCACGUCUUGUAGGAGUCACAUAGCCUGAAACUGGUGGCCCUAGAGACAUACUAGUAAGCACGGAGCUGACGCAAACACAUGCGAGAAGACGGCAUCUUCUCUUCGUGACUUGGAAUCGUCAGCUUCUGUCUUCGUGACUUCAAUGGGCUGUGCAGAAGACGGCAUCGCCCCGUGCGAGAGUUCGUGUCAGAUGAGCAACGAGAUGUCCCCAUAGUGGAUACUUUAGUUGUAUCCGCCAAAGAAAAGAAGUUGGACUUUUGCACUUGAUCUCCUUUUUGACAGCGCCCAGAAACAGAUUUAUGUUACUCGCACUGAAAACAUUUUAAGUGAUAACAGAACAAAAUCUCAAUUCAGGUCAAAGAAAAAAAUUGUCUCUGUUAUCUAAAAUAGUGAAGAAACUGAGCAAAACUGAUUAAAGAGGGUUUUGUCAUGCCCCAGUAAAAGCUAACGUUUGAUCGUUUACAGAAGAGAAAUAUUUUACUAAUGAGGGGAGAAUAACUAGCCAAUAUUACAACAAAAUUUUCAUGCUUGACUUUAUGGAGAGCAACUCUUCUUCGGUCAGCUUUUUCCACACGCCACCAACCAGUAAUGUACCCCUGAGACCAGAGGCCAUUUCUGGCAUAUCAGAAAUCCCAUGUUCAGGUGGCGAUCUUGAUAUUUCUAGGAUGCCUUCACCAUCCAACUGCUGCUCAGGGUAAGAAUAAGAGUCGAAAAUUUCAAUCUGACCAUCAGGCUCAAAACUUCCAUGUUCUGCUGUGUCAUGCUUCAGUUCAUCAUCAAUGACAUCAAGGACGGGAAGAACAGCAGUUGAACUAUAUGAACAAGGUAUCAUUCCUAGCGGACAGGGGGUCCAGGACUUCGCUAUAGACCACCUAUUACGUUUCUCUGGCAUGCUUGUGUUAAGCGUUCCCUCAGUUCCAUUUUCAGCUAAACUCGCAUUAUCUGGUUU